ensembl:lincRNA Gm15627 predicted gene 15627
GGGCGCUCAGAGGGAGAGCUGCGCGGCCUUCCAGGCAGAAGGAACACCGUGUCCAAACGCACAGAAGCGUGAAAGCCCCCACGAGUGCUUUGACGUUGUGGUGGGUCAAGUCUACCUGACGAGGCGAACAGGGAACUCUUCGGGGAGAAAAUCCUGCCUGUCAAUCUCAUAUUCUCAGUUCCCUUCUAUCAGAUGGGGGCUUAUUGUGCUGCCUCAUACCCACUAAAGGGCGUGAAACCCAGAAUUCUCACUAUGUCUUUUAAUGUAGUUAAAGAUUGGGCCUUCGAGAUGGCUCAGUGGGUAAAGACGCUGCCAAGUUUGCUGACCUGAGUUCGAUCUUCUGGACCUUGGAAGGAGAGAAUGGAACCCUGCAGGUUGUUCCUCUGAUUUGUACAUGCGUGCACACACGUAAUUUCAAUAAAUAACUGAUAGCUCUA